ACAGGGUCUGUCUGGUGAGGUAUUACAUGAAGAAAAGUCUGACUUGCCCCACUUCCUGCUUGCUCACUCAUGCUUCCCACCUCCAUGUGCUAACAAAAUGUGACCAUCCAGCUUCCUGUUUCCUGCUAACAAGCCAUGAUGGACUCCAGCCUUCUGGGAGUGUGAGGCAAAACCAACUAUUUCCUCCUGAAGUUGUUUUUGGUUGUGGUUUAUCACAGCCAUGGAAGGGCACGUGUCACUGAAAUCAUCACAUGAAGAGUGCAUGGGCUGAACCCUACAUUUCAGGACAUGCAUGAUAACUGUGUGAGCCAGACAACCAGAUUUGAUGAGGACUGCUGGCCAUUAUCCAGGUUUAGAUGGGUGUUCCUUGAAGAAUUCAAAUUGGACUAAGAAGACAUAGAGGAGUUUCUUCCUAUGAGUUUCAAGUGCUGGUGCUGAUCCAACAUCAACUUGUACCUUGUGAGACUCUUCUGUCCUUCUGAUUCUAGUGUCUAUUUGCAAGAAGCACCACAAUUGGUCCUAGUGCAGGGAGCCUCAUGAACCUGGAACUUCAAUAAGUAGGCUAAGCUAGGUGACCAGCAAGCUUCCAGGAUCCAGCUGUCUCCACCUCCCAUCUCAUGGCUGCUGGGAUUUUAACUGCAUCACCACACCUGGCCUUUUGCAUAGGUUCUGGAGACUCUUAAGGCCUUGUCAACUGAACCAUUUCUUUAGGCAUUUUUUUUUUUUUGUUUUGUUUUGUUUUGAGAUGCAGUCUAUGUAGCCCAGGCUACUCUCAAAGUCACAACCCUCUUACUUCAGUCCCCCAAGUGUUUGUUCCACUAAUGGCUAGCAUUACUUAGUCAUCACUGGUGUGUGUGUGUGUGUGUGUGUGUGUGUGUGUGU
rnacentral:lncRNA from 1 species